rnacentral:rRNA from 1 species
UACGUAGGCAGCAAGCGUUGUUCGGAAUUACUGGGCGUAAAGAGUGUGUAGGCGGUGCUCUAAGUCUGUCGUGAAAUCUCCCGGCUCAACUGGGAGGGUGCGGCGGAAACUGGAGUGCUCGAGGAUGGGAGAGGUAAGCGGAAUUCCUGGUGUAGCGGUGAAAUGCGUAGAUAUCAGGAGGAACACCUGUGGUGUAGACAGCUUACUGGACCAUUUCUGACGCUGAGACACGAAAGCGUGGGUAG